GACGAACGCUGGCGGCGUGCUUAACACAUGCAAGUCGAACGAUGAAGAAGAGCUUGCUCUUCGGAUUAGUGGCGAACGGGUGAGUAACACGUGACUAACCUGCCCCUUUCUCUGGGAUAACGCUCCGAAAGGAGUGCUAAUACCGGAUACUCACAUCGAGGCACUUGCCUUGAUGUGGAAAGUUUUUCGGAAAGGGAUGGAGUCGCGGCCUAUCAGCUUGUCGGUGAGGUAACGGCUCACCAAGGCGACGACGGGUAGCCGGCCUGAGAGGGCGACCGGCCACACUGGGACUGAGACACGGCCCAGACUCCUACGGGAGGCAGCAGUGGGGAAUAUUGCACAAUGGGUGAAAGCCUGAUGCAGCGACGCCGCGUGAGGGAUGAAGGUCUUCGGAUUGUAAACCUCUUUCAGUAGGGACGAAGCGAAAGUGACGGUACCUAAAGAAGAAGCACCGGCUAACUACGUGCCAGCCGCCGCCGUAA
rnacentral:rRNA from 1 species